GAGCGGUAGCACAGGAGAGCUUGCUCUCUGGGUGACGAGCGGCGGACGGGUGAGUAAUGUCUGGGAAACUGCCUGAUGGAGGGGGAUAACUACUGGAAACGGUAGCUAAUACCGCAUGACGUCGCAAGACCAAAGUGGGGGACCUUCGGGCCUCACGCCAUCGGAUGUGCCCAGAUGGGAUUAGCUAGUAGGUGAGGUAAUGGCUCACCUAGGCGACGAUCCCUAGCUGGUCUGAGAGGAUGACCAGCCACACUGGAACUGAGACACGGUCCAGACUCCUACGGGAGGCAGCAGUGGGGAAUAUUGCACAAUGGGCGCAAGCCUGAUGCAGCCAUGCCGCGUGUGUGAAGAAGGCCUUAGGGUUGUAAAGCACUUUCAGCGAGGAGGAAGGGUAGUGUGUUAAUAGCACAUUGCAUUGACGUUACUCGCAGAAGAAGCACCGGCUAACUCCGUGCCAGCAGCCGCGGUAAUACGGAGGGUGCAAGCGUUAAUCGGAAUUACUGGGCGUAAAGCGCACGCAGGCGGUUUGUUAAGUCAGAUGUGAAAUCCCCGAGCUUAACUUGGGAACUGCAUUUGAAACUGGCAAGCUAGAGUCUUGUAGAGGGGGGUAGAAUUCCAGGUGUAGCGGUGAAAUGCGUAGAGAUCUGGAGGAAUACCGGUG
rnacentral:rRNA from 1 species